rnacentral:lncRNA from 1 species
GUGCUUCUCAUUUUUUGGAAUUCUUCACUGAAAUUUGAUAUGAAGACAAAAGGAUUAUGUAUUUAUUAAAUACAUCAAGCUGACCACCUGCUAAAAAUUGAUUUAACCUGAUAGAAAAGGAGUGAGCCGGAAUGUUUAGUAAAGGCAAAUACAAAGUGCUGAAAACAAGGAAAAACACUGAUUGAAAAGCACUGGAUUACAUGCAGUGUGCUGAGAAACCUCCUUUCAACGUCUACAUCUCAAAUCUGGAGCAGUCUUUAGGGACAUCUACACAGAGGUGAGGAGAUUGUAGCUAAGCUUGCCUUGUGCAGGAAUCAGCUUUUCUUUUCUUCUUAUGUUGUCAUAAGAUGUUGAUACCAAAG